GAUGAACGCUAGCUACAGGCUUAACACAUGCAAGUCGAGGGGCAGCAUGAAGUUUUCUUCGGAAGACUUUGAUGGCGACCGGCGCACGGGUGAGUAACGCGUAUCGAACCUGCCCAAUACUCGGGAAGAGCCUUGCGAAAGUAAGAUUAAUGCCCGAUGUUCUUGGUGUUCCGCAUGAGGCGCCAAGCAAAGAUUCAUCGGUAUGAGAUGGCGAUGCGUCCCAUUAGCUUGUUGGCGGGGUAACGGCCCACCAAGGCAUCGAUGGGUAGGGGUUCUGAGAGGAAGGUCCCCCACAUUGGAACUGGGACACGGUCCAAACUCCUACGGGAGGCAGCAGUGAGGAAUAUUGGUCAAUGGACGGAAGUCUGAACCAGCCAAGUAGCGUGCAGGAAGACGGCCCUCCGGGUUGUAAACUGCUUUUAGUUGGGAAUAAAACGCGGGACGUGUCCCGCCUUGUAUGUACCAUCAGAAAAAGGACCGGCUAAUUCCGUGCCAGCCGCCGCGGUAA
rnacentral:rRNA from 1 species